rnacentral:rRNA from 1 species
UACGAAGGGUGCAAACGUUGCUCGGAAUUAUUGGGCGUAAAGCGCACGUAGGCGGCCCAGCAAGUCGGAAGUGGAAUCCCACGGCUCAACCAUGGAAGUGCUUUCGAAACUGCUGGGCUUGAGUACAAAAGAGGAUCGCGGAAUUCCCGGUGUAGAGGUGAAAUUCGUAGAUAUCGGGAGGAACACCAGUGGCGAAGGCGGCGAUCUGAGUUGAUACUGACGCUGAGGUGCGAAAGCGUGGGGAGCAAACAGG